GAUGAAGAACGUAGCGAAAUGCGAUACGUAAUGUGAAUUGCAAAUUCAGUGAAUCAUCGAGUCUUUGAACGCACAUUGCACCCCCUGGUAUUCCGGGGGGCAUGCCUGUCCGAGCGUCAUUGCUGCCCUCAAGCACGGCUUGUGUGUUGGGCCCCGUCCUCCGAUCCCGGGGGACGGGCCCGAAAGGCAGCGGCGGCACCGCGUCCGGUCCUCGAGCGUAUGGGGCUUUGUCACCCGCUCUGUAGGCCCGGCCGGCGCUUGCCGAUCAACCCAAAUUUUUAUCCAGGUUGACCUCGGAUCAGGUAGGGAUACCCGCUGAACUUAAGCAUAUCAAUAAGCGGAGGA
rnacentral:misc_RNA from 1 species